rnacentral:rRNA from 1 species
CAGCCGCCGCGGUAAUACGAAGGGUGCAAGCGUUACUCGGAAUUACUGGGCGUAAAGCGUGCGUAGGCGGUGAGUUAAGUCUGCUGUGAAAUCCCCGGGCUCAACCUGGGAAUGGCAGUGGAUACUGGCUCGCUAGAGUGUGUCAGAGGAUGGUGGAAUUCCCGGUGUAGCGGUGAAAUGCGUAGAGAUCGGGAGGAACAUCAGUGGCGAAGGCGGCCAUCUGGGACAACACUGACGCUGAGGCACGAAAGCGUGGGGAGCAAACAGGAUUAGAGACCCGCGUAGUCCCUGUCUCUUAUAC